CAUCACUGUUACGGGAGGAGAGAAGAGAUCCUCUUCCCUCAACACAGAAUGAUUGCUUCUUAAUCAAUUAGUUUCAGCGUUUGUUUCUGUUCUCUCUCUCUGUCUCUCUAUUUCUGAGCUCUACACAGAUUUGACUGAGAAUCCUCAAGACGUUGUGAACAAAGAGGGGAAGAGAUCUUGUGCGCUGUUUGGGACCAAUCAUCCUCAUUACAACCAUGACGGUCCUCAUCACAGGUUUCGUGACUUCAUUGUUGCUCGGGGCAGGGCUACCCGCCCGAGCCUUCGUGACUGCUUCAUUGUUGCUCGGGGCAGGGUUACCCGCCCAAGCCUUCUGGACCACUUCAUUGCUCGGAGCAGGGUUACCCGCUCGAGCUGGACAACAUCUUCUGGCAAUUUGCUAACUGGACUGCACAAGCGCACACCACACGAAUGUGUUAUGAAUUUCAUCUGAUGCCGUUUUCUACUAUUAUUAUCUCUAUGCUCUGAAACUCUGUAUUCUUACAGGACUCUGUUCUCACUAUAGGUAGAUAUGCCUUCUAAUUUCAUUUUCCCUCACUGUUUUAGAACAAAUUACUCUGAAGGAAGUAGUGUGUAUUUGGGACGAAUUAAGAGGUUUUGAGUUUCUCUAAGCUCCGGUGAGGUGGGACGAGGGCUGAUCGGGCAUGCCCGCCCUCUGAGCACCAAUAUACAUCAGGAAGGGCAAAGAUUAACUCAAGAUUAAUUCUCGAUGUAAUCACAUAUAUGAUCAUGAGGUGAUAAUGAUCAUAUAUGAUCCUAGGAUUUGAUAAUAGUGAUACUAUUGUCAAAGGGGGGGAUUGUUAGGUUUAUAUAAGUAUUAUUCUUGACCAAGAAGGCAGUAAUUUGUUUGUGACAAAAUUAAGGAUUAAUUUCUGUCAGUUAAAAUGACCUUAUGUCUCGGCUGGACAUUGUUUGGGAACAUUUUGUUUAUUUUGAUAUGAAAUGUGUAUUGUUGAUCAAAGAUGUGUCUAGAUGGUGACAGGGUCUGCGAUGAUAUCACACACACUCACAAUGGCCUUUGAUAUCACACACAACCACAGCUGCAUAGCCAACGUGGAUUGGGAAUUAAAAGUUAGAUUUAAAGCCAUGAUUUAAGUUAGUUUAUAGCUAAGAUUGUGAUUUAAGAUUGUUAGAGUUAACCAGUUUCUUUAAUGUUGAAUCGGAAGUUGAAAUGAUUGAAUGUUGGAUGUAAUGGUAGCCUUAUUGCUGAACAAAGUGUUAAGAUCCAUUAUUAUUUUGGACUAUUGCAUAUACUAAGGCAGUGAUUUAGAUUUAAUUGUUAGAUCUAAGAUGCAUUUAGUGAUUUAAGUUAGUUUUAUAAUUAUAGAAUAUAAUUUAGGAUUGUUAAGACUUUAUGAUUCUAAUGUUAAGAACAUAUUCUUGAUAUGAGAUGUUUUGCUUAUGACUGUCUUUGUUUAGGUUUAUUCUUAUUUUUUGUUUACUUUCUUAUAACAAAUAUCUUUGUUGAAAAAUUCCAUCACCAUCUUAAGUACAUAGUGCCCUGACCUGAAGGGGUGUACGUAAGCAAUGACCUUUAAAAUCUGUCUGUACCUUGCCAUCAUGUCAUAUCAUCAGAAAUAUGUCAUUAUGUUAUGAUUUACACACACAUACAUCUGAACAUUCCAUCAGAACAGUGAUGUAAUUAAGAUGUGACUUGCUCUCACACACACACACACACACACACACACACACACACACACACACAGAUAUCAAAAUGAUGUCACUCAAUCACCCCCCCAUAGACACACACACACACACACACACAUUCAUGCACACACACACAUAGAUAUCAAACAGUGAUGUCAUUUACACACAGAUAACACUCGUAUAUAAUAACCCUCUCUAUUCUUGUCCAGGAGGGGGGAACUUGCGAAUAAAGAUGUGAACUACA